AGUAGGUCAAGGGCCUCACUGAAGCAGUGCAGGCCAUACAAUAGCAACAACAGCCACAGGCAUCGGUGCGGUUGGAAAGAGCAUCGUCGGAAUUCCAAACUCUGGCGGUAGGGUGGGCCACUUGGGCCAGUCGCCCCAUCUUUCUCGAAAAGACAAACCCAAGGGUGGAGAGCCCUCAGUCCGAUCAUGAUUCUACUCCGGGAGGAUCUCUACCUCCAUUUUGCUCGAAGACCCUUGAGACCCAC
rnacentral:lncRNA from 1 species